CAAACCCACAGCUCAGCUCCGGCCCCGGACGGACUCCCGAGAGCCUCCGGAAGCAGAGCGUGCGCUGAUUGGCCGGCGGGGCGGGGAGGCUGUUUGAAAUAGGGCAGUGCGCGCUGAGUCGCGGGGUGCGAAGGGCCGCGGGUUCGAAUCCAGCGGCAGCCGGGAGGGAACCUCGGUGCGUUCCGUGAGCCCCUGCUGCGUACGGCGGGGGCUGGGAAGGCUCCGCAGCCCUGCUCGGGUUCGGAUUCUUUCUGCAACGUAAAUCCUGUAACUCUUUCAGGUAUUUUUUCUUGUCUGCACGAAGUUCUGUUCUGCUGCUAACAGAUGAGACCUCUCCAAUGGUUUAUGCCAUAAAACUUAGGACUGCGGUGAUUCCAGUUCUUGGCAGUAUUGCAGUUUGGGACUCAACUUUCUUCCUCCAUUCCAAGCAAAGGCCCUCCCAGCACCUGAUUUUAGAAGGUUUUCGUCUUUGCCUGGGAAAUACCUGCUAUCAAAGCUGCUGCGCACAGCAAAAAUAAGGAUGGAAGACUCAGUGCUAAACACAGACGGGUAUCCAUAACUCCACCAGCUCUACAAGCAGAUGAAAGCCCACAGCGCGGGCUCCGCCGCCAUCAAUACAUGACCUGCUUUGGCAGGGGGGCUGGACUCGAUAUCUUGAGAUCCCUUCCAACCCCGAUGACUCUGUAAUAUGCGGCCAUUGAUAAA
rnacentral:lncRNA from 1 species